GGGAGCUGAGUCAUGUAGGAGAGGAAGGUGUAUGAGUGAUAUUUAAGAUAGGAAAGUGGAAAACAAAAGGAUACGAUGGUUAAGCUCGGUAGAUGAAGAGAAAUUGAGUUCUUGGUGUUGGUAGGAGAGAAAUGAAUGAAUAGAGGUGAGAGAGUUGUGUUAUUGUAAGGUUUAACUAGAUAGAGUAUUGAAGCUAAUAGAAAACAGUAGGAUAGAAGAUGAGUGAGGGUUAUGGAGUUGUUAUCAUGGUGUUCUUAGUUGGGUUAGAUAUGAAGAUAGUUAAUGGUGAUGAUGAUGGACAAGUUCAUGGUGUUUAUGAUGAAAAGAUGAUAAUGAUUGAAAUUGGAUGAUGGGGAUGAUAGAACGCCCUUAAACAACCAAGUUGAUCUUUAUUAACUACGAUCGAUUCAUACGACGAAUCAGUGGAUGGUGGAUCUCGAGGUAGGCGUGGCUUGUCAUCAAAUCAGAUUUCAGAUACCAGAAGAAAUGGGGCGCGCAAAGACAUCCGUUUACGUUACUUAAAGCUUAAUCGAAUAAAUAUAUUUUGUAUAUCUUUUAUUUUAUAUUUCUUUCCUGAUUAUGUAAAACAACACAUUAUUAUAUUUAUGUCACCUGAGAGAUUCUUAUAUUUAAAGUAUCGGAGUAUAUGGGUUUUGACUUGGGAUUAGCUUAUGUAGUUAUGGUUUUUGAAAACAAUAAUCUGGAUUUGGCGUAUCAUUUAGGUUGUAUUAUAUUAAU